rnacentral:rRNA from 1 species
UACGUAGGGGGCAAGCGUUGUUCGGAAUUACUGGGCGUAAAGAGUGCGUAGGCGGUUUUCUAAGUUUGGUGUGAAAUCUCCCGGCUCAACUGGGAGGGUGCGCCGAAGACUGGAAGGCUUGAGUAUGGGAGAGGUAAGCGGAAUUCCUGGUGUAGCGGUGAAAUGCGUAGAUAUCAGGAGGAACACCUGCGGUGUAGACGGCUUACUGGACCAUAACUGACGCUGAGGCACGAAAGCGUGGGUAGCAAACAGG